rnacentral:rRNA from 1 species
CAGCAGCCGCGGUAAUACGAAGGGUGCAAGCGUUAAUCGGAAUUACUGGGCGUAAAGCGUGCGUAGGCGGUGAGUUAAGUCCGCUGUGAAAUCCCCGGGCUCAACCUGGGAAUGGCAGUGGAUACUGGCUCGCUAGAGUGUGUCAGAGGAUGGUGGAAUUCCCGGUGUAGCGGUGAAAUGCGUAGAGAUCGGGAGGAACAUCAGUGGCGAAGGCGGCCAUCUGGGACAACACUGACGCUGAGGCACGAAAGCGUGGGGAGCAAACAGGAUUAGAUACCCCCGUAGUCCCUGUCUCUUAUAC